GAUGAACGCUGGCGGCGUGCCUAAUACAUGCAAGUCGAGCGAACAGACCAGGAGCUUGCUCCUCUGACGUUAUCGGCGGACGGGUGAGUAACACGUGGAUAACCUACCUCUAAGACUGGGGUAACUUCGCGAAACCGGAUCUAAUACCGGAUAAUAUAUUGACCCGCAUUGUUCACUAGUGAAAGACGGUUUUGCUUUGACUUAUAGAUGGAUCCGGCUCGCAUUCUCUAGUUGGUAAGGUAACGGGUUACCCACGCAACGAUGCGUAGCCGACCUGAGAGGGAGAUCGGACACACUGGAAGUGAGACACGGUCCAGACUCCGACGGGAGGCAGCAGUAGGGAAUCUUCCGCAAGGGGCGAAAGCCUGACGGAGCAACGCCGCGUGAGUGAUGAAGGUCUUCGGAUCGUAAAACUCUGUUAUUAGGGAAGAACAAAUGUGUAAGUAACUAUGAACGUCUUGACGGUACCUAAACAGAAAGCCACGGCUAACUACGUG
rnacentral:rRNA from 1 species